rnacentral:lncRNA from 1 species
UGAACACCGAAAGCACUGAAAUUACUCUGCAAAAAGUUGUUUGGAAACACGUGAGUAAAGAGAAAAAGUAUUGUGCAAAAGGAAGAGAGAGAAAAGGGUGACAAGGAAGGAGAUCCAAUGUGGACAGGCUCGUCUCUAUCUUAUGCUCCCGUUUUCAUACUGAUUUACAACCUUCAGGUCUAAGUGCUUUUUCUAGUCUUCCGUUGACCCACAGAUUAGCUAAUCACACUACGAAACAUCGCAUGGUUUCAGUGAGCCUCAACACACUGAAUCGAUACACCCAUGAGAGCAAAUGAUUCACCACGGAUGUGUGCACAAUUCGCCUAUGUGCCUCCUCCCCUCCAACCAGCAGCACUCCGCCACGUGUCAGGUGCAUCCAGUCAGCAUCUCUUAGCCCAUCAUGCUACGCCACAUGAUAAACACUCAACACUCUAAUAUAAUCUCCUACAAUGCAAAUGUCAUAUUUUAAAUGCAAUAAGGUAUACUUUCAUUUAUUCUAGUCUUCCUUUUAUUUAAUUUAGCAAUACAAUAUUGUUUAAUAAAUAAAAGUCAAAUAUUUUUUUUUGUAAAUAAUUUUAUUAAUUAUGUUAUACAUUAAUUAAUAUUAAUAGUAACCAAUUAAUAAUAUAAUAAUUUAUGGAAUAAGUAACUAAGAACAACUAAGACAAUCCCUUUAGUAUAUCUAAUAAUCAACAAACCUUUUUCACUUUUUAGCAAUUAAUUGGGUUUCUUUAUUUUCUUUAAUUAAUAAAAAAUUAUCAAUAAUAAAAAUAAUUAGAACAUUUUGCUAUGACAAAAAUGAUUAUUAAAAUUACAUGAAGAUUUUUAUAAUGAAAUUAUUUUGGGGAUUAAUCAAAGAUGGAGAAACAGUCGCCUUGGAGGCUUCUUUCUUCUCAACUCAUAUUCGAAAGGUCGCGCUACGCCACUUCUUUUCAUUCAAUUGAUUCCCAAAAUAUAAAAUAAAUCAUUUUUAAUUAAAUUAACGUUCAAUUAAAACUCUUUUCAUGAAUACACAAAAAAAAUAAAUAUUUUCAUUAAAAAAAAUUGCCAACCACAUAAAGGAUGGAGGGACGGUCGCUCUGGAGGCUUCUUUCCUCUCAACUCAUCCUUCGGAUGGUCGCGCUACGCCUCUUCGGUCCUAAUUAAAAUACCCAACCAAUAAACAUUUUUCUACAAAAGAACUACGUAAACCUUGAUUCCCUUAAUAGGGUACAUAUGACCAAGGUACAUCUUGUCAGGCAUAACUAAAACAAAUAAAUAGUUUUGCUCCUUUAAAUUAAUUAAUUAACUAGAUAAUUUAACAAUAAAAUAAUAAUAAUAAUAAAGUCAUAUAUUUUAGUGAAGGGUACCACCUAAGGCAAACGAGUAGGGUGCUAAUACAUUCUCUACCUUGUAACCGACUCCCGAACCUGAAUAUAAAAAAUUCAAAAGCCCAUGGUAAGUGGGCUUUAAAGAUUUUUCUACAUUUUUAAUAAUAAAAUGUAGUGGCGACUCUAAUAAAGUCGUGCAUUGAAAAUCGGGGCGCGACAGUUGGCGACUCCACUGGGAACUUUUUUGAGAGAGUCUGGCUCAUAAUCAAUAAAAUGUGUGAAUGUUUGUUUAUUAUUAUUAUUAUUAUUAUUAUUAUUAUUAUUAUUUUUUGGUUAAUUAGUUAAUUUCCAACAACACAAAAAUUGCAUGUUUAAUUAUUAAUCGUAUGUUAUGAUAUCAAUAGCAUUACAUGUUUAAUUAUUAAUUGUAUGUUAUAAAUAUGAAUUGCACGCUUAAUUAUUAAUUUUAUGUUAUAAAGAUGAAUUGCAUGCUUAUAAUAAUUAUACAUUGUAUGUAUGAAUUAUAUGUUAUAAAUAUUAAGUGAAUGUUUUAUGUAUGUAUUAUUUUUGUUAUUGGGCGAUAUAUGUACACAUUUUAGGCACACACAUAUGCCCUACACCCGAGUAUCAGUGAUAUCUUUUUGAAUAGAAGAGACACUAGCCUCACUGGUCGUGGUCUUUGCCGCUUCUAAGUGUUGGUGAUGUGAACCACUCAUAUUGUUAUCUCAUAUUAUGAGUUAGCCGCUCGAGCUGAUCUCCUGUUUCUGACAUCAUAAUAUUUGGGUUUCUCUAUUGGAGAGAGUUGCAAUAUAGGCACCUUAUAGAGAGUCUAGAACUUGCUAAUGGCGUCUAUUGUAUGUUUGAACCAUAUUAUAGGAUGUUGUACUUGUUGUGAAUCUUGUGAUAUGUAUCAUGUUUGUAUUAUAUCAUAUUGUUUAGAAUUUUGUCAUGUAAAAUAAAAAUCAUGUAAAAUAUUGCACCCUUGAGGGGAAUUCCUAUUCUCCUAACAAGGAGAUUAUCAUAAAAAUAAAUAUGGCAAUUUAUUUUGGCCCUAAGCUAUCCCGAAUGAUAAAAAUAAAAGAAAUAUAAUUUGAAAAAAUAUAUAUAUGAUAAGUGCCAAAAGUAUACACUUUUCACCAUCAUUUUAUGGCACUUAUCCUAUGCAAAUUAUAGAAAAUCGACUUAAAAUCACAUUUUUUAGGUAAAUUAUAGAAAACCAACUUAAAAUCACACUUUUUAGGUAAAUCACACUUAAACCAUUAUUUGUGUUUUGACAUGUUUACAUGAUUUAUUUUACUACGCAAUUCCUUGUGGUUCGACAUAACCUUAUACUAUACUACAAUUGAAUCUUGAAAGAGGUAUAAAUUGUAAAAUAGUAAAGUGUUAUCAAGAAAUUUAUUUGUUGAAAACACCUUUUAAUAUACAAAAGUGAUGAAACUAACUUACUAACUUUUAUUUAUUGUUAUUUACUUUCCGCAUUUUAUUUAUUCAUUAAUACCAACCUUCCUUAACGAAGAAGUUUGGUUUGUUAAUAAAAUGAACCCGAAAGGGAGUAAAUAAAUAAAAGUCACUAAAUUUAUUAUUCUUUUGUUAUUUAUUUAUUUAUUUGUUAUCUAACAACUAACUAUUCAUCACUUUUAUAUAUUAGAAUACCAUUAAACUGAUAUUGGAAUUUAUUCCACAAAACCGAGAUGGUAUUCAAAGGUACUUAAUAAUUAUGUAAUAGGUAAUUAUAGGUAAUUGCUUCGAUACCAUUAUACCGGCGUUAGAAUUUAUUCUAACAAAGCCGAGAUGGGGCAAAGAAGGAAUGACUUAUUUAAUUAUUAAGAAAGUAAGUUGUAAUUGGAAUAUUCUUUAAACCAUUAUACCGGCGUUGGAAUUCAUUUCAACAAAGCCAAGAUGGCGAACAAAGAAUAAAGCCGAGUUCUCUUACUUACAAAAGGAACAUAAUUAAAAUGAGAGUAUUAAUCUUUCAACAAAUUGACACUGCUGUCAAGACGAUUUGUUGAGGGGGAUAAACUCCCAACAAUGAAAAUAAAAUAAAUACCCCAUUACACCGCAUUUCAACAAAUUGACGCUGUUGCCGGGGAAUUGCUUUAAUAGUAAAACAUUUCAUAUUUAUGUGUCAUUAAUCAAAUAAUUGUGCAUAACAAUUUUCUUUCUCUUUUGUAUAAAUUUAUUUUUCCUUUUGUACAUCUUUAUUUUUAUGUUUUGUACAUUUGAAAAAAUAAAAAACUCAAAAAAAGUGAAUUAGUGGAGUGAAAACCCACUAGUUAAGAAACACUUUAUUGUUGUUAUAAAAUUUUUAGGAGAUGUGGAAGUACCCCUCAUCAUCUUUUUCAAAAGAACAACAUAAAAGGGAUUGAAUUAAACAAGGAUUAAUGGUUGGAAUUUUUCUUCAAAAAGGGAAGCCACUUGAAUCUUUAAAGGUUAAGUAUUUACCAUGUACUUUUUGAUGCUGAUACUUUAUCUUGUGAUACUUUAACCAAACAUAUCCAUCAACAUGACUUAGUAAAUGAUUUUGAAAUUGUCAAAUUAAUUUUUAAAAAUUAAGAGCAUGCUUGUUACAUUUGUGCCAAAAUUGAAUUUUUCCAAACUUGAGAACUCCUUAAACAAAAUAAAUUCAUGAAAUUCUGAAUGGAUUUAUUUAUGGAUGUUUGGUGUGAUAAAAUGUGUUUUGAAGUUCCAUAAAUUCUGUUUGGACUUCCAUUUUAUCACUUGGAUUUGAAAUAUGAUUGAAAUUUUUCUAAACAUCAAUUUUCAUGAAAAAACAUGCUGUUUGGUUGGAUUUCUCUCAAUCAAAUUUAAUUCAGGAACUUAGUGUCUUAGGAAAUUAUAAAUUCAUGUGAAUUGUUAGACUAACUUCAAAGCAAAAGAAAAAUUGAUAGUUCGAAAUGAUUUACAGGAAAACAAGUCCAA